rnacentral:rRNA from 1 species
ACAAGCGGUGGAGUAUGUGGUUUAAUUCGAUGCAACGCGAAGAACCUUACCUGGUCUUGACAUCCCGGAGACCCUUAGGAAACUAGGGGUGCUUCCAUCUGGAAGAAUCUGGAGACCGGUGCUGCAUGGCUGUCGUCAGCUCGUGUCGUGAGAUGUUGGGUUAAGUCCCGCAACGAGCGCAACCCUUGCCUUUAGUUGCCAGCAGUUCGGCUGGGCACUCUAAAGGGACUGCCGGUGUUAAACCGGAGGAAGGUGGGGAUGACGUCAAGUCCUCAUGGCCUUUAUGACCAGGGCUACACACGUACUACAAUGGCCGAUACAAAGGGCAGCGACACUGCGAGGUGAGGCCAAUCCCGUAAAAUCGGUCUCAGUCCGGAUUGGAGUCUGCAACUCGACUCCAUGAAGUUGGAAUCGCUAGUAAUCGUGGAUCAGCAUGCCACGGUGAAUACGUUCCCGGGCCUU